rnacentral:rRNA from 1 species
GGGGAAUUUUGCGCAAUGGGCGAAAGCCUGACGCAGCAACGCCGCGUGGGUGAUGAAGGUCUUCGGAUCGUAAAACCCUGUCGUCAGGGACGAAGGGCUGCGGAGUAACUGCCGUAGUCUUGACGGUACCUGGAGAGGAAGCCCCGGCUAACUCUGUGCCAGCAGCCGCGGUAAUACAGAGGGGGCAAGCGUUAUUCGGAAUUAUUGGGCGUAAAGGGCGCGUAGGCGGUGAUGUAAGUGAGAUGUGUAAUCCCCGAGCUUAACUUGGGAACUGCAUCUCAGACUGCAUCGCUAGAGUGCUGGAGAGGGUGGUAGAAUUCCACGUGUAGCGGUGAAAUGCGUAGAGAUGUGGAGGAAUACCAGUGGCGAAGGCGGCCACCUGGACAGUAACUGACGCUGAGGCGCGAAAGUGUGGGGAGCAAAC